rnacentral:misc_RNA from 1 species
ACACCUCAACUCUCAUGGCUUGCCAUGAUGAGCUUGGACUCUGGGGGUUUGCUGGCCAUGUGGUCUGCUCCUCUCAAACGAAUCAGCUUGCCAGUGUUUGGUGGCAUCACGGGUGUGAUAACUAUCUACGCUCGCGGUCGUCUGCCGGGUAACCCUCAGCAAUGGAGGUUCACUGGGGCUCACAAACAUGUCUCUCCUCAGCGAGGACAGCUUUUGAAC